rnacentral:tRNA from 1 species
GGGCGAGUGGCGGAAUGGUAUACGCGCAUGGCUUAGGACCAUGUCCCGCAAGGGGUGAGAGUUCGAGUCUCUCCUCGCCCA